GUAGAAUUGAAAUAAACCUCUAGGUGUAGUUAACGUGUAAUUCAGUCCCUAUAUCGUGAGUCCCGACUAGAUGGCGGGUCAUAGAUAAAUCAUCAAACCUCAACAUCGGUCAUAUGAUGAUUCAAUCAGCUUAAGUCCAUAUGUGAUUCUAUAGAGACUCUUUUCUAUCAAUCACACUGCUAUGACCACAGACUUAAAGACUUAGCCUCUUAAAUCUUAUAGGACUACUCCUUUCUGCUAGAGUCGAU
rnacentral:lncRNA from 1 species